GACGAACCGUACGAACGUUAUUCGGAAUCACUGGGCUUAAAGGGUGCGUAGGCUGCGCAGAAAGUUGGGUGUGAAAUCCCUCGGCUUAACCGAGGAACUGCGCCCAAAACUACUGUGCUCGAGGGAGACAGAGGUGAGCGGAACUUAGGGUGGAGUGGUGAAAUGCGUUGAUAUCCUAAGGAACACCGGUGGCGUAAGCGGCUCACUGGGUCUCUUCUGACGCUGAGGCACGAAAGCUAGGGUAGCGAACAGG
rnacentral:rRNA from 1 species